UACGUAGGGUGCGAGCGUUGUCCGGAAUUAUUGGGUGUAAAGAGCUUGUAGGCGGUCUGUCGCGUCUGCUGUGAAAAUCCGGGGCUCAACCCCGGACUUGCAGUGGGUACGGGCAGACUAGAGUGUGGUAGGGGAGACUGGAAUUCCUGGUGUAGCGGUGAAAUGCGCAGAUAUCAGGAGGAACACCGAUGGCGAAGGCAGGUCUCUGGGCCACUACUGACGCUGAGAAGCGAAAGCAUGGGGAGCGAACAGG
rnacentral:rRNA from 1 species